rnacentral:rRNA from 1 species
GCCUAACACAUGCAAGUCGAACGGCAGCACGGGGGCAACCCUGGUGGCGAGUGGCGAACGGGUGUAAAGCAUCGGAACGUGCCCAGUAGUGGGGGAUAGCCCGGCGAAAGCCGGAUUAAUACCGCAUACGACCUACGGGUGAAAGCGGGGGACCGAAAGGCCUCGCGCUAUCGGAGCGGCCGAUGUCGGAUUAGCUUGUUGGUGGGGUAAUGGCCUACCAAGGCGACGAUCCGUAGCUGGUCUGAGAGGACGACCAGCCACACUGGGACUGAGACACGGCCCAGACUCCUACGGGAGGCAGCAGUGGGGAAUUUUGGACAAUGGGGGCAACCCUGAUCCAGCCAUGCCGCGUGCGGGAAGAAGGCCUUCGGGUUGUAAACCGCUUUUGUCGGGGAAGAAAUCUUUCGGGCUAAUACCUCGGGAGCAUGACGGUACCCGAAGAAUAAGCACCGGCUAACUACGUGCCAGCAGCCGCGGUAAUAC